rnacentral:lncRNA from 1 species
GUUGUUCCCCCACAUACGAGUGGGUGCUUUUUGGGAUUUCAUCAGAACCAUAGGUGUGAUCUGGAAAGCUCCUGAGAAUACCACCAGCCAAUGCUCACUCAGCCCAGCUCAGGAUGCCAGGGAGCAACAGUGGAUUCCUUCCUGCUGAAAUCAGGGCAGGUGGCACCAGAACUAUCCAUCAGACCUUUCUGCCUGUGAUUCUCACACAGAUCUCAAAGCAUGCAGCAUACUGCAGGCCACAGAUUCAAGCACUCAGAUGGCUUUGCCCAGCAGGAAUCUGGCUGUAUCCUGUGGAAUCAUGAAGCAACCAGAUUAGACUGGCUGGGUUGAUAUAUGCAUCAAGCUGCAGCUCACAUGAGAGACAGACCAUGGGAUUGCAACAAGGUGGCCUCCCAGAGUGCUUCUUGAAUGGAAUCUGGUUACUGCAAUGUGCCAGGCUACUGAGAUGUAACAGGAUGUGCAGCACUAGGUGAACUGCUCUGAGGAGAUAUCAGCAGAGGGGGUUGCAAGGGCUUGGCCAGCAAGGAAGAUGGCUGUAAG